rnacentral:rRNA from 1 species
GACGAACGCUGGCGGCGUGCUUAACACAUGCAAGUCGAACGGAAAGGCCCUGCUUUUGUGGGGUGCUCGAGUGGCGAACGGGUGAGUAACACGUGAGUAACCUGCCCUUGACUUUGGGAUAACUUCAGGAAACUGGGGCUAAUACCGGAUAGGAGCUCCUGCUGCAUGGUGGGGUUGGAAAGUUUCGGCGGUUGGGGAUGGACUCGCGGCUUAUCAGCUUGUUGGUGGGGUAGUGGCUUACCAAGGCUUUGACGGGUAGCCGGCCUGAGAGGGUGACCGGCCACAUUGGGACUGAGAUACGGCCCAGACUCCUACGGGAGGCAGCAGUGGGGAAUAUUGCACAAUGGGCGGAAGCCUGAUGCAGCAACGCCGCGUGCGGAAUGACGGCCUUCGGGUUGUAAACCGCUUUCGCCUGUGACGAAGCGUGAGUGACGGUAAUGGGUAAAGAAGCACCGGCUAACUACGUG